AUAUAGAUCACCUGGGGAUCUUGUCAAAAUGCAGAUUCCAGGGCAGGGCCUGAGACUGUGCAUUUCUAACAAGGUCCCCUGUGAUGCCCAU
rnacentral:pre_miRNA from 1 species